GCUGAGGUGGCAGCUCCAUUCCUCUGCACUUAAGUGACUGAAAAGUAGAGGUCGUUAGAAGCAGAUCUCUCAGAAGUGCUGAAAAUGCACAAUUUCACUGGCAGGCACAAAUAUCUGAUGAGCGAAUCACCUCAUUCUUCCUGCAGAAAAACAUUUUGGAAAGAUAGUGGAGAAGAAUAAAAAUUAUCAGCCAGUAAAAACUGUAGCAAACACCAGAUAAAAAAGGACUUCAGCAUACCUACUGGCAUUCCAAGGUCAACCUCAUAUGACAUGGAUUGCUUCAGGAAAGCAAAGGUGCAUGCACAGAUGCUUAACAGCCAUGGUAACCGGAAGGUGCACUCAGCAACGAAACUGCUGAAAGUUAUCUGCAAGCUGGCUUUGCAUUAGUCAGUAUUGG
rnacentral:lncRNA from 1 species